GCUGCUGCUGCUGCUGCUGCUGCUGCUGCUGUGCUGCUGCAGCGGCAGCAGCAGCAGCAGCAGAGGAAGAAAGGGAGAGAGCUUUCUUCUUUUGUCCCUAUAAA
rnacentral:snoRNA from 1 species